rnacentral:lncRNA from 1 species
CUAAUGGCACGUUUGGUACGGGGAAUAGCUAUGCUAUUCCCCCUCUAUUCCCGAUCAUUUCCUAUUCCUUCGUUUGGUACCAAAUUGAAAUACGGAAUAGCAAUUCCGCAGGAAUAAAAAUUCUGUCAAACAGGUUAAAAGUCAGUAAUAGCUAUUCCCUUCUCCCUCCCCAGUAAUAGCUAUUCCAUGGCUCAUGGAAUAGCUUUCAAAUAUAUAAUGACCAAAAUAGCCCUUAUAACCUAAAAAUAUUACAACCCUAUACCUAUAAAUACUUUUUUUCUCUCAUUUU